GAUGAAGAACGCAGCGAAAUGCGAUAAGUAAUGAGAAUUGCAGAAUUCAGUGGAUCAUCGAAUCUUUGAACGCACAUUGCGCCCCUUGGUAUUCCGAGGGGCAUGCCUGUUCGAGCGUCAUUUCAACCCUCAAGCUCUGCUUGGUCUUGGGCCUGGCCGUGAUGGCCGGUCUUAAAAUCAGUGGCGGUGCCGUCGCAGGCUCCAAGCGUAGUACAUCUCUCGCUCUGGAAACUUGGCGGUGCCUGCCAGACAACCCCUAAUUGUCUCUUUCGGUUGACCUCGGAUCAGGUAGGGAUACCCGCUGAACUUAAGCAUAUCAAUAAGCGGAGGA
rnacentral:misc_RNA from 1 species